rnacentral:rRNA from 1 species
GAGGAAUAUUGGACAAUGGUCGGAAGACUGAUCCAGCCAUGCCGCGUGAAGGGAAAGGUCCUAUGGAUUUUCAACUUCUUUUGUACGGGGGCAAUAAGGUCCACGCGUGGGCCGAUGAGAGUACCGUACGAAUAAGCAUCGGCUAACUCCGUGCCAGCAGCCGCGGUAAUACGGAGGAUGCAAGCGUUAUCCGGAUUUAUUGGGUUUAAAGGGUGCGUAGGCGGAUUUUCAAGUCAGUGGUGAAAUACCCGGGCCAAACCCGGGAGCUGCCGUUGAAACUGGGAGUCUAGGAUACGGUUGCCGUGGGAGGAAUGAGUAGUGUAGCGGUGAAAUGCAUAGAUAUUACUCAGAACACCGAUUGCGAAAGCAUCUCACGAAGCCGUCAUUGACGCUGAGGCACGAAAGUGUGGGGAUCGAAC